rnacentral:lncRNA from 1 species
ACUUACGAAAUAUAGCUGGGGGAGGAUCAAAACUGGCCGGGUCUCUUGAGUAUAAAACAUUAUUUAUGCGUCCCUUGCAUUCAUAAUGAAUGUUGUAUUUGAGAUUCUGGGUCCAAAACGUAAGAGCUUCAAUUCCAUAUUAAAUACCUUUCAGUCCCAAAAUGCUAGGAAAGCCAAUAUUUCAUUUUGAACGUUAAAGGUUGUUGAUAUGUGUUUUGAAGCUUGACUUACGAAAUAUAGUUGGGGGAGGAUCAAAGCUGGCCGGGUCUCUUGAGUAGAAAACAUUAUUUAUGCGUCCCUUGCAUUCAUAAUGAAUGUUGUAUUUGAGAUUCUCGGUCCAAAACGUAAGAGCUUCAAUUCCAUAUUAAAUACCUUUCAGUCCCAAAAUGCUAGGAAAGUCAAUAUUUCAUGUUGAAAGUUAAAGGUUGUUGAUAUGUGUUUUGAAGCUUGACUUACGAAAUAUAGUUGGGGGAGGAUCAAAAUUGGCCGGGUCUCUUGAUUUUUCUGCGGCCCCC